GCCGACCUAGCUCAACGGUAGAGCAACGCUUUUGUAAAGCGAAGGUUCCGAGUUCGAGUCUCGGGGUCGGCU
rfam:Parcubacteria (Yanofskybacteria) bacterium GW2011_GWA2_44_9 TW79_C0004, whole genome shotgun sequence.